rnacentral:lncRNA from 1 species
GGAGCAGCUUCAGCCCAGACCCCCAGUGCAGGUGCUGCUCCAGCCCUGAAGCAUCUCACAACCAUGGCUGGCAGAUGCCAAGGGGAUGUGUGAGAUGGCCCAGCUCCAGGAUGAAACUCAACUUGAGGGAAGCUGGGGAGAGCCUCACAGCGCUGGACAAGCCAUCAGAUGGCACUGCCCCCAGGGACACACCCGGGGGCGUGGACAGGGAUAUGCAGGACCUAAGGCAAAGGGUGGCUUCAAACGUGACAGCAGAUCAGCCGCUGGGAAAAUACCAGAGGGGAUUUGACAGCUGGGCCAGGUGUUCCAGGACAGCACUUUGCAAAAGAUUUUCCAUCCAAACUUCCAGCAAGAAGUAGAUCUUCCAUCGUUAUCCAGAGCAUAUCUACGCAUUCAGAUGAAGAAAACAACGCUGACAUGCAUUAUCUCCCAACACCAACCUCAACCCAGCCCUGGAAAGUGAACAGAGCCAGCAGCAUUUCCAGCCCCGCCUCUGGAGGAAGGAGAGGAACCUGAGACUCUUGGGUGACCUGAGGCGUCUCUGGCAGCACCAGCAAAAGAGCCUGGCCCUGGCCGCCCAGCACAGGUGCUCAGUCCCUCCUGACUGCCACUGCUCCCUCAACACCAAAGCACAGGGUCGCGAGAUGUUGGGAGAGGGUCGGGGAUGCUGGGCUGGGAGAGGACCUGGGGGCCUGUCAGAAGCCAUGACAUGAUGCGCUCACCGCUCAGGAGGAAGCUACUGGCCUUUGAGUGAAAUCUAUAAGAAUGAACUCUGGAGAUGUAUCGUACAACAUGGAGUCUACAGUUAAAAAAUGUAUUGUAUACUGGAAAAUUGCUAAGAUUAGAUCUUCCAUGUUCUCACUACAAAAGCAUAAGUAUGUGAGGUGACAGACGUGUGUGUCAGCUUGAUUUAAUCAUUUUGCAGUGUGGCAAAGCAUCGCAUUGUAGGUGGUAAAUAUAUAUACAGUUUUGUCAAUUAUACCUUCAGGAAGCUGGGGUGGUUGGUGUGUGUGUGUGUCUGUGUGAUGUGAGGUCAGUGAGGUGCUGAACAUGGUGCAUUAAACAGCAUUUUCAUUCUUA